CCCAUGACAGGGACUCUCACACUUCCAAGAAGAAGCUGCAUGGCUUGCAAUUGAUCGUGUAGGGUCUGUCCACCACUGUUUUUCAUUGUCCUGGGCUUGGUGAGCAUUUUUGGCAUGUAAAUCAACCUCUCCUUGUAUACUUUUGUUACAAUAUUUUUGCUAUUACUGCUCUUUUUCGUAUCUCUUUGCUGCUUCCACAGAAUUGCUCUUAUCUCAACCCAUAAUCUCUGCUUUUUGUCUCCCACAGGAGGGUGGGGGAGGAACAGGUUGUGUCUUGGAGUGUCAUUCCUAAACCAUGACAAUGGGGGACUGCAAAAUCUUCCUACUGUGGUAGAUACUGGACAUGCUUAUUCAGGAGAUGCAUAUAACAAGAUGUCAGCCUUCAUCCAUGGGAGACAGCGUGGAAAGAUUUGGGCAGAAAAGGCUCUCCAUGGUUGGAUUACUCCUGCCUACUCCUGGCCAGUAUGCUCCUUGAAAUCUACUGGGACAGCAGCUACUACAAUUAUGUCAGAAGACGGGAGUGAGAAGAGAGAAGAUGAAAUUUUUUCAGCGCACAGGGAAGGCACAAAUGGAAUUAAAUGUGGGCAGCACACACAUUUUAGAAUUAUAAUUUGAAAUUAAGCCUUCAACACGAAAGCUCUGCUUCUGGGAAAUUCAUCUGAGCUAUCAGUUUCUGUGGAGACAGGUAAAAUUAUAAGGGAGGAGCAUCUGCUGCCAACGACUGACACCUGUUACUGAUAGUACAUUGUUGGCUGGUGCAAGGUCAUGGUAAUAUGGGUAGAAGGUGCCUUACAUCCUGCAAAAUUCACUAUAAUGAAAAAUGUUCCCAAGAACAUUGAAAACAAAAGCUUUACAAGGUUGAAAAAAUA